rnacentral:rRNA from 1 species
CCCUUAGAUGUUCUGGGCAGCACGCGCGCUACAAUGGUCUUCGCAAACGGAUGCAUUCUCGAAGGAGAAUGCCAAUCUUGGAAUCUAUGCCUUGGUCGGGACCGUUGCUUGCAAUUUUUCGACUCGAACCAGGAAUUCCUUGUAAUCGUGAUUCAUCACAUCACGAUGAAUACGUCCCUGCCCUUUGUACACACCGCCCGUCGCUCCUACCGAUCGAAGAGUUAGGUGAAUUGUUUUGAUCGAUAAGAUUUGACUAUGGUCAACUCUCGUUGUGAAAUUCUGUGAAUCUGACUGUUUAGAGGAAGGAAAAGUCGUAACA